rnacentral:lncRNA from 1 species
AAAAAAGUGAGGGAGAAUUUCAAUCUCAACCGUAGCGGCUCAUCGCAACCGUUACAAAACAACAUAUCGGAUAUUAGUGGGCUAUUAGGUUUUCAAUCUAAACAUGUCAAGAAUUUUUUUUUUUUUUUAUUUACAUUGUGCAAAAUUGAUUCGAGAGAAACCCAAAAACCAAAAAAAGCUCUAACUCAAUUCACACACUCAAAUUCAGAAUUUCAGCUUUAUUCAUCAACAUCAAGCAGCGCAACAAAGUAAUUGAUUGGAAUUUGGAAGGUAAGCAACUUAAAAUUACGAAUGUUUUUGUUGGUUCUGUUGCUCUUGAAUAUUUCGGUCUUCAAUCGACUGCCUGACCAUCAAUUUCAUAACUCUACAGCUAGAGAGCAAGGGCUAGUGGGCUGCUUGGCUUGUUGGCCGUUGGGUGCCUAAGCCUAAAAGUUGAACUGUUGUUUAGAGGAAGGUGAGAGGCUUCAAGCUUGUGUCGACUUGAAUUUAUGGAUUUGGGGG